AAAAAAGUCCGCUAGAGGACUCUUUUAUUUAGACUUGGCUGCGUCAAAUGGAUCUAUGAAGCUGAAUUUAGGGCUGGACGAGCUGGAUGAUCUGUUUACACUGAGGGGGCACCUAGAGUCCCUAACGGCAUACUUUCCACAGCCGCUCUCCCAGCCACAUGAGCAGGUUGUGCCUAAAGAAAAUGUAGCGCCGGUUUAUGCACCGCCACCACCACCAACACCUUCCGCACCUCUAACAAUAAUAUAUGAAAACGAGACGUCAACUACCACUCCACUUCAAACUAUAACAGACCCGAUGUGGAGCAAAGGAAAUAUGAUUCCGGUGAGGGUGGCCGCAAAGAGACCGGUACGUGAAGAAUUACACCCACAGUGGUCUGGGAAGAAUACAAAAUAUGAACAGAUUUCCCCUGUGAAAAACAAUUUAUAUGAUCUCUCUGAGGAGGAAAUGGGAGCCUUUUUCCAAUCGAUGUGAUGAUGCUCAAUGUGGUGUGACUUUCAUUCAAUGUGGUGUUUAUAGGAAUAACAUUUAUAAAUUUCAUUACGGACAUAUAUGCAAACAGACUGACACGGUUAGUUUUUUUUUUUAAAUAUUUAAUAAAUACUAUCACUAAUAUGUGUCUAUCUUAUAAUGUCCAUAGGCAUAGCUUUCAAUUGGGUUCUUCCAGUAACGUUUAUCAUCAAAACUACACAGUCCUUUUUUCACAACGGUAUCC